rnacentral:rRNA from 1 species
GAACGCUGGCGGCGUGCCUAACACAUGCAAGUCGAACGAAGCACAUACGACGGAACUCUUCGGAGGGAAGAUGUAUGUGACUGAGUGGCGGACGGGUGAGUAACGCGUGGGUAACCUGCCCUAUACAGGGGGAUAACAGUUGGAAACGACUGCUAAUACCGCAUAAGCGCACGGUAUCGCAUGAUACAGUGUGAAAAACUCCGGUGGUAUAAGAUGGACCCGCGUCUGAUUAGCUUGUUGGUGAGGUAACGGCCCACCAAGGCGACGAUCAGUAGCCGGCCUGAGAGGGUGAACGGCCACAUUGGGACUGAGACACGGCCCAAACUCCUACGGGAGGCAGCAGUGGGGAAUAUUGCACAAUGGGGGAAACCCUGAUGCAGCGACGCCGCGUGAGUGAUGAAGUAUUUCGGUAUGUAAAACUCUAUCAGCAGGGAAGAUAAUGACGGUACCUGACUAAGAAGCACCGGCUAAAUACGUG